CAGGCAUACAACAGUACAGCCCAGUCACAACUUGCAGUGACCCAGUGAGUCACAACAGUGUAUACCAGGAUGCUGAAACUGAAGCAGCUAAAUGGAAUUCAGCCAUCAUUAAUGUGCUUAUUUACACCUGUGCCUCUUCCUAAUGUGAAGUGUCAAACAUCAAUUAGUCAUCUGUGUAUUCCAUGUAUUUUACAAAUAUGGGUAGUAAAGGUUGCUCUUUAAAAGAUACUGACACAGUUGAAGCUAAUGUAUCAAGCAAAGCUAACUAAGCUAAGCUAAACUAUUUCUAUUAUCUACUGUUUCUCAUGAGAAAUGCAUACUGCUUUUUUAAUAAGAUCGAGCAAUUUCUGAUGCACUGAGCAUUUUUAGGAAAUGGAAAUCUUAAAAAAAACAAACUGACUGUUCUGCUGACAGUGUAUGCAAAGGUCUGCAGAAGAUGAGCCGUUUUAAUUGUCUGCCUGAAGCAUUUCACAGGCACUGAGCAUCUCUUCCCACUGGACUCCAUCAUCUAUCAACAAAAACGCACCUUUCCAAUGCCAUACAGUGAAAUCUGCCUCUGACCAUGUGAGCCAACAUGCCUCUGUGUUACAAAGCAAAUUAAAACUCACCAAAAAUAUUCAAAACAAAGGUUAUGUGGAGCUAGAAGACAGCAUUUAAAAGUCAAAUGUUUGCUGAAUACAGCUUGACAGCAGCAGCUGGAGGGGUUGUACUGUGGAGGAGCUGCAGAGAAGAGUCUGAGUUUGCCACCAGGGUCUAAAUUAUUGCUUUGAGAAAGAAGGUCUGAUUCUAAAUUUAUACACUGCUUGUUUUGUCAACAAAUCAGAUAUUUUCAAGACGCCAAUUACAGCUUCGACAAAACGGAACAAUGGAGGGGUGUGUGCCUUGUCUGCAACAGCAACAUGUGAAUCACAGUGAUACUGACUCUAACCGUACACAGCAAUGCCCACUUUGCACAUCUCUUUAUGGCCCUUAUCACUUGUAGAGAAUAAGUAAAAAUAAGUGCCAGUGUUCUCAAUAAUUAUUUCCUUUAUUUUCAUUUUUGAUUAAAUUAUCUUUUAUGGCUCAAACUCUUUAUAUGCCUUAAUGGCAAUGGGAAAGGAUUAUACUGGUAUUAUCUUUUAAAUGAAGGCUGGCUUUAGGUCACAUACCUUUUAACCCUGUGUUGUCAUUGUGACAGCUGCUUCAUCCUCCUCUGCUUCCAACUCCACUCUUUUGCCCUUUAAUCCUGCAUCUCCUGUCACCUUAGACCUGCCAUUCUGCACCCGGCCACCAGGUGUCCUCUCACCUGACCCUUUCACCUGUCUGCGCACUCAUCACCCCAUCAGUCCAUAUGUGCCAACAAAGUAACCAAAGGAUCAGUCACUCCCUACCAGCAGGAACACAUACUGUAUUACGCCUGAGCCCUCACUCUGUCCUGCUUGCUUUAACGCUUUAGGAUUUGCCCAUUGUAAGCGUUCCUCUUUGGCGAGUAAAGACUAAGGUUUUACCACACCUGGGCCUCCUACUGUGUCUGUUGUGAUCAGUGAGAGCCCAAGUGGAGACUUUCUCCAGAAAGUCUCUUGAAUGGUGCAUCAACUUGCACAAGAAAGUACAUCAGCACAUCUUUACAAACUUUCUAACAUAGGCUGUAAAGUGUUUUUUUCUUAACUUUCUUUCCUAGUUUUACUUCAGUAAUAUAAUGCUACACAGAUUUUUA